rnacentral:rRNA from 1 species
GACGAACGCUGGCGGCGUGCCUAACACAUGCAAGUCGAACGGGACUAAACGCUGUGAAGCCUUCGGGCGGAACUUGUUUAGUCUAGUGGCGGACGGGUGAGUAACGCGUGAGCAAUCUGCCUUUCACAGGGGGACAACACCGGGAAACUGGUGCUAAUACCGCAUAAUAUCGCGAAGUCGCAUGGCUUUGCGAUCAAAGGAGCAAUCCGGUGAAAGAUGAGCUCGCGUCCGAUUAGCUAGAUGGUGGGGUAAAAGCCUACCAUGGCGACGAUCGGUAGCCGGACUGAGAGGUUGAUCGGCCACAUUGGGACUGAGACACGGCCCAGACUCCUACGGGAGGCAGCAGUGGGGGAUAUUGCACAAUGGGCGCAAGCCUGAUGCAGCAACGCCGCGUGAGGGAAGAAGGUUUUCGGAUUGUAAACCUCUGUCUUUGGUGACGAAUUUUGACGGUAGCCAAGGAGGAAGCCACGGCUAACUACGUGCCAGCCGCCGCCGUAACAC